UGCCAGUGGAGCAGUGGGCAGCAUCACCGGCUUUAGGAGCUAUUCAGCUCAGACAGGACCUUGUUCGGCGGUUUUAAGGGACCUCCUCCGUCCGGACCCUUGGCCGUGGCGCACGGGAGGUUGGUGGACGGGACUCGGCUUCCCCCGCUUGCACCUGUUCAGGCUCUGGCGCAAGGAUAGGCUCAGGCUCCUGGAUGGGCUGAGGGGGAGAUGCCUCGAGGGCGCUGGGCCCUGCAGUGCCAUCAUCUGCAAAACAAUAGAGCACAAUUUGAAUAAAACGAGUUAACUAUG